rnacentral:rRNA from 1 species
CCUACGGGUGGCAGCAGUGAGGAAUAUUGGUCAAUGGGCGCAAGCCUGAACCAGCCAUGCCGCGUGAAGGAAGACGGCUCUAUGAGUUGUAAACUGCUUUUGUACGGGGGUAAACGCAGAUACGCGUAUCUGUCUGAAAGUAUCGUACGAAUAAGGAUCGGCUAACUCCGUGCCAGCAGCCGCGGUAAUACGGAGGAUUCAAGCGUUAUCCGGAUUUAUUGGGUUUAAAGGGAGCGUAGGCGGUUGGGUAAGUCAGAGGUGAAAGCCCGAGGCUCAACCGCGGAAUUGCAUUUGAUACUGUUCGGCUUGAGUACAGUAGAGGUAGGCGGAAUUCAUGGUGUAGCGGUGAAAUGCGUAGAUAUCACGAAGAACACCGAUUGCGAAGGCAGCUUACUGGACGGCUACUGACGUUGAGGCGCGAAAGCGUGGGGAGCAAACAGGAUUAGAUACCCUUGUAGUC